CACGUAGGGACCAAGCGUUGUCCGGAUUUAUUGGGCGUAAAGAGCUCGUAGGCGGUUCAGCAAGUCGGGUGUGAAAACUCUGGGCUCAACCCAGAGACGCCACCCGAUACUGUUGUGACUAGAGUCCGGUAGGGGAGUGGGGAAUUCCUGGUGUAGCGGUGAAAUGCGCAGAUAUCAGGAGGAACACCGGUGGCGAAGGCGCCACUCUGGGCCGGCACUGACGCUGAGGAGCGAAAGCGUGGGUAGCAAA
rnacentral:rRNA from 1 species